rnacentral:rRNA from 1 species
AGUGAACGCUGGCGGUAGGCCUAACACAUGCAAGUCGAACGGCAGCACAGUAAGAGCUUGCUCUUACGGGUGGCGAGUGGCGGACGGGUGAGGAAUACAUCGGAAUCUACUUUUUCGUGGGGGAUAACGUAGGGAAACUUACGCUAAUACCGCAUACGACCUACGGGUGAAAGCAGGGGGUCUUCGGACCUUGCGCGAUUGAAUGAGCCGAUGUCGGAUUAGCUAGUUGGCGGGGUAAAGGCCCACCAAGGCGACGAUCCUUAGCUGGUCUGAGAGGAUGAUCAGCCACACUGGAACUGAGACACGGUCCAGACUCCUACGGGAGGCAGCAGUGGGGAAUAUUGGACAAUGGGCGCAAGCCUGAUCCAGCCAGACCGCGUGGGUGAAGAAGGCCUUCGGGUUGUAAAGCCCUUUUGUUGGGAAAGAAAAGCAGCAGGUUAAUACCCCGCUGUUCUGACGGUACCCAAAGAAUAAGCACCGGCUAACUUCGUG